GGAAAUACGGAUAAGGGCCAGGGAUUGGCCUCUUGGAAGGUGGAUUUGUAAGUAAUUAUUUUUAUAGAAUUAAUAGGUGAAGGGUGGAAUAACAUGUGUACAUAUUGCCCGUCGCUCUCGUUAUUUUUGAGAUAAGUCGUAACAUAGUUGAUGAACUGGAAAGUGUAUCUUUUUGA
rnacentral:rRNA from 1 species